rnacentral:lncRNA from 1 species
AAUUUUUAGCCUCAUGUGACCUAUAGCACACGUUUCCAUGGCCAAACAGACAAUUUCAUGUCUCCGUUCUGCCACCUAUGUUUUAAUCCUCGGUGGCCGGUAAGACAUUUUCGGUCACUCGUGAGCUAUACCACAUGUUUUUAUUGCUAAAUAGUCAUUUUCAUGUCUCUGGUCUGCCACCCACGUUUUCAUCCCAUAAUGCUGGUGAGGCUAUUUUGGUCUCCCGUGACCAAUAGCAGGCGUCUUCAUGACCAAACAACAUUCUUCAUGUCUCUGGUCCUCCUCCUACGUUUUGGUCCCUUAGGCUAGUAAGGUUGUUUUGGCCUCCUAUGACUUAUAACACAUAUUUUUGUUGUCGAAUAACAAUUUCAUGUCUCUCGUUCGCCGCCCAUGUUUUGAUCCAUGAGAGUGGUAAUGUUGUUUUGGCCUCUGGUGAACUAUAACACAUAUUUUCAUGACCAAACAACGGUUUUUAUUUCAAAUUUCUUGCACCGAUAUUUUGGUCACCAGAGAAUGGUAAAAGCAGUUUUUGGCCUCCCGUGAGCUAUAGCACACGUUUGCAUGGCCAAACAGAUAAUUUCAUGUCUCUAGUCUGCCACCUACAUUUUAGUACCUGUAGGUCGGUAAGGCAUUUUUGGCCACCCGUGAGCACACGUAUUUGUGGCCGAAUAGUCAUUUUCAUGUCUCCGUUCUGCCACCCGUGGUUUCAUCCCCAAUGGCCGAUGAUGCUAUUUUUGGCCUCCUGUGACCUAUGGCACACGCUUUUACGACCGAACAACUUUCUUCAUUCCUCUGGUCUGCCUCCUACAUUUUGGACCCUUAGGCUUGUAAGGUUGUUUUUGCCUCCAGUAACAUAUAACACAUGUUUUUUGUCGUCGAACAAUGAUUUCAUGUCUCCGAUCCCCCACCCAUGUUUUGGUCCCAAACAAGGUAAGGCUACUUUUUGUAACACCCUAGAAUAAUGUCUUAGAGAAAAGUUUGCAAAAGAUGUUGGAUUAGAAAUGCUUUUAAUGAAGAGUUUAUUAGCUUUAAAAGACAAUUCUCUUAAAAUAAAUAAAUGGUAGUAUUAAAAUUCAGUUAUUCAAAGUUAUGCUUAGGUCUUGAAACUAGAAUUUGAAUUUGAUACUAUCUGGAAUUUUCAAUUAUUCAGGGGAGUGAAUUAAUUUUCAUGGAUCACAUAUUAAUAUUACUCAAAGGAAUGAUAAGAAGAUAUUUUUUCUUGGAUUAUGCCUUCAAAAAUAUUAAUGAAUAAAUAAAUAUUGGCAGGAUAUAAAAUUCAUGUAAAUUUAUACUAUGCAUCAUGCUAGAGUUUUGAAUGUACAUCUAGUUUUAUUUGAGAUUUAAACUCAGAUUUUAAAGCCAAAAAAUCAGAUUUGAAAAUAGCAAUUCAAAAAUAGGAAAAGAAAAAGGGAGAAAUGCUUGCUUUGCUGGAAUCCUUCACACCGCCGGCCCAACCACCACCGUGGCCCACUUCAAGCCGCAUAAACCAGUUGCAUCCACGCGCGCGAUCGAUCUACUAACGGGCGGGACCCUCUCGUCAGCCUCCCCCCCGUCAUGGCAUUGUAUCUCUUCCUCCUCGUCUUCCACUCGCCGAAGUGAACGCCUAGAUCCAUGUCGACAUCUCCAGCAGCCGCCCAUGCCGACCGAUUCGCCCACGUCUCCAACCUAUAAAAGCAUGGCCUCGUGACCUCCUUCGGCUAUGGGCUAAAGCUCGAACCACCCUCGCACAUCGUUGACGGAAUCAUGGAGGGUGGAGCAUCGUUGCGGGGGGGGGGGGGGGGGGGGGGGGGGGGGGGCGGGGGGGGGGGGGGGUUUGGGGGGUGGAAGGAAUCAAGCCGACGUCGAUGAACCACAUGUACACCGUCGUCCAGGUCACGCCGUAUGGCACCGAGUGUUCGCCCUGAUGCACCGCGUGCGCCCGUGGCAUCAUUUAGCGUGGUGGCGUCGCGGACUGCGACAAAUCACUCGUCGGGCUUGGUGCUCGCAGCCAAGCCACCGAUCGCCGUGGCCAGCGUCCAACCCUGCAGCAAGUUCAGUAAGAAGACCUCGGUUGAAUCCGCGGUAUAUACAAGAUCGUGUAGCUCCCCUCUGAUCGAAGUUUUGGGUUGCGAAUGGGAGAAUUGGGGGAGGGCGCCAAUGGAUGCCGCCAUGGGUUGGGCGGCGCUGCCAUCUGUUGAUGGCUGGUGGAUGGGUAGGAUGGGGGAAAACGUUGUGGCCACCGAUUUCUGCAUCAACAGCUGGGAUUGGGCCGAGCAUACCUCUUUGGCUAGAUUAAAUCUUGGUCGUUAGAUCGGAUCCGAGGGAUGGGUGUGGCUGAUGGCGUGGACGCACUUCGGCCAUGGAUCUCUGAUCCUGCGGCUAGGAACCCUUACCAGUGUAUAAAGUAUGGGGAUCUAAUCGCAGCCGUUGAUCAUGUAUCGGAAGGCUCAGCUUUCCCCAUACCCCUUCGUCGUGACUUUUAGCUAAAGUGGCCCUCAGAUUGAUUCUAUUUAACCCACAGUUUAGGUUAGUAUUAAAACCAUUACUGAGAGGCCCUGGAAUUAAUGAAAACAACCCUGAAUCCUCGGAUAUUUAUGCCCGCGGUUAAGAAUACUCAAUAUACUUAUAAAUAAAUUCAAAAAUAGUUUCCUUUAUAAAAACAAUUCAUAGAUAUUGGAAAACCCCAUAACUUCUUCAUUUUAACUCUGCUUUAGUCUGUUCCUGUUGCGUUAGCUUCUUAAUAAGUUUGCCUACACAUUAAAAGCAUUAUUUCUAUCAUCCCACAUACUUUUAUAAUUGGAUAUUUAUUUAACUUAUGUUUAUUAGACUAACUCUUCUAAUCUAGGCUAAUAUGUUUAUAAUUAUAAAUUUUACUAAAAUAUUAUCUCUAAUCAAGUUAUAAUGAGGUAUCUCUUUAGAUUAUCUUUCUCACAUGAUUUAUAAGAUCAACAUAAGACCUAGUUUAAAUUGCUUAAUCGCAUAGGUCUUCCAAAAACCAUAUCUCUUUAACCACAACUCUAAUUUCAGUAAUUCUCAAACCCACGAUCUUGUAGCAGCGCAUAUAAUAUUCUUAAGUUGUUUGUUCUCAUGAUUGGUGUACUGUUAUUUUUAUGUGCUUCUUGUCUAUUUGUAUGUAUUGCUACGAAUAGCGGUGAGGUCACGAGAAUCUGAAGACCAACUUGGUACCUGGUAUCUCGAGUCUAAGGCAAGUUGUGCCCUUGAUCACUAUUCUUUACCUAAUAAUGAUCUCUGUUACUCACUGUGACAUGCUCAGGUUAAUUUGAUGGGACCUAAUAGGUUUCCCUAGUUCUGUUUACUCGAGCCUUCGCAGACAAAUGAACUAUUGGGUAGACUUGCUAUUGUUUUACCUGGUUUUAGAAUUAAUGUUACAUUUGAAUUAUGAUCAUGUUCCAAUUAUGUUGUAGUUUUAAUUAUUGUUCAUGACAAGAUAAUUGUCUUAAUUGGAACAUGGAGCUUAACUUGAGAUAAUCGUGCUACCACAAUGGUGGAAUGGGACGCCCUUGGCUGACUAAUUAGGAAAGCUAGUGGAGGACUACCUUACCCGAAAGGGGCAAGGGCGGUAGAGGAGCUAUGGUAUAGGGAGGUUCUCGGGUCGAUCAUGCUGCGAUGGCUUUUCGAAUGAGGGAUUCCUAUAUUGCCCUUCUCAGAAACCGUAGCAGGUUUUCUGAAGCUAGUGGAACUUUGUAAAUGCCUCGUAGUGCUACUUUGCCUUGUCUCCUCGGCAGAUAUGAAUGGGAAGUCAUGAUCCCUUAGCAAAUGGGUAACACAACUUGUAGGUGAAGGGUGCAAGCUCUGCAGAGUGUAAAACUGGUAUAUCAGUCGUGCUCACGGUCAAAAGCGACUCAGGACUCGCAUUAUUAAUUUAUAGAACUAAACUUAAUUUGCCAUAUGCAUUGCAUUGUGGGUGUUAUUAUUAAUUUGAUCUCUUAUUUAUUUGGGUUGGUAUCUACUUAUGCCCAGUAACUACUAAUAAAACUUUGACCAAAUUUAAAAGCAAUGCUCAUCUUUAAUCAUCUCCUUUGGUAAGCCUUACACUUCAUAUGAGCCCCACUGUAAGUGGACUCAUAUUCAUUAUUCCCCACAACUUGUUGAGCGAUGAACGUAUGUGAGCUCAGCCUUACUGUACUCACAUCCCCUCAGGUCAAGAAUAAAUACUGCACAAUGAGGAGCAUGAAGGAUGUUGUGAUGUGUUCAUUAGAGGUCUAGGCCAUCGUCUCCCAGUAAACUAUGCUUGCUAGAUCGUUGUCUACAUAUGAUGUAAUUAUUUAACUAUUUUGUAUAGAACUCCUAUUAUAUAGUAAAGAUGUGACAUUCGUUUCUAUACCAUGAGUCAUCAUAUGUGUGAGACUUGAUCUUAGCACACAUUUGAUUCGCGCUCGGGUUUGCCCCUUAAAUCCGGGUGAUACUUUUGACCUCUCAUGAACUAUAGCAAACGUUUUCGUGGUUGAACAACCAUUUUUAAGUCUCC